rnacentral:rRNA from 1 species
UAUGGUGGCUAUACCGAGGGUGUCCACCUCUUCCCAUUCCGAACAGAGAAGUUAAGCCCCUCAUGGCCGAUGGUACUACCCCCGAGUGGGGUGGGAGAGUAGGUAGCCGCCGAAU